UGAACCUCAGAUCAGGUAGGGAUAC
rnacentral:rRNA from 1 species